GUUCAGUUACAUUCUUCUGCAUACGGAUAGCUAGUUAAUUUUUCUUCCAACUUUACACUCUAUGCUUUACAGAAGGUCACUGUUACCUCAGGCAAUGGGCUGACUCUUCUCAUCUGGCCUUGAUAAAUCCAUUAUAUUUGUGGUAUCCCUUACCUUUCUUCUAGAGAUGCAUUCUAUUAGCCUAAUUUCUUCAGACAUUUUAUCUUUGGAGAACAUCAUUCUCAGCAAACUGACACGAACAGAAAAUGAAAUACCGCAUAUUCUCACUCAUAGGUGUUCUAGAUAUAAACUUGAACCAGAGGAUCGGGCUUUUCCAGUACCCAGAACUUCCCAACUAAUAGAGCACAUUGGUGUGCUGCUAAUGGUUUACAGGUUUGUUGAGAUAUUGCACCCCUAAGCCCCGGGAGCUUCUGGCCAUUAGCAACUUCACAAACAUCUUAUUUAAAAAAAAAAUAGUCCAGGUGUGGUGGCUCAUGCCUGUAAUUCCAGCACUUUGGGAAGUUGAGGAGGGCAGAUCACGAGGUCAGGAGUUCAAGGCCAUCCUGGCCAACAUAAUGAAACCAC
rnacentral:lncRNA from 13 species